UACGUAGGGGGCGAGCGUUGUCCGGAUUUAUUGGGCGUAAAGAGCUCGUAGGCGGUUCGAUAAGUCGGACGUGAAAUCUCCACGCUCAACGUGGAGGGGCCGUUCGAUACUGUCGUGACUCGAGUCCGGUAGGGGAGUGUGGAAUUCCCGGUGUAGCGGUGAAAUGCGCAGAGAUCGGGAGGAACACCCGUAGCGAAGGCGGCACUCUGGGCCGGUACUGACGCUGAGGAGCGAAAGCGUGGGGAGCAAAGCAGGG
rnacentral:rRNA from 1 species